GGGGGGGUCGCUGCGGAGAGGCCCGCGUGGUGCGAGAAGCUGCAGGCAUUUGCUCGGCGGGAGGCACUCCGCAUGCGCAGUAACAUCUGCUGAAGCUGCUGCCUCUUGGCAUAAGAGCAGAAGUUUAUUCUGAUGGAUCAUCUGACUUCCAGUCUGACUGAAUUUCUGACCUGGUCUCGGAACUUUGUUUUCAUUCAAUCCACAAAUGGGGCAUUUCCUCUCAACCUCUCUGCUGAGAAACUCAAACGCUUCAAACAUAUUGCCCCUGCAAUUCUACACCAAGUCAUGUUCCAUGCAGCGUCAGAGCCAGGGCCAUUUCAAAGCAGCUAUUCCCGUGAAGUGGCCUGCGUACAUCCUUUAGGCAUGAGGAGCAGCUGCCUGACUCAUCACUGCACUACCCUAGUUUUACUCCAUGUACAGAAGGAGGAUUUCAUUGGCGUGAUGCUGGCACAGAAUUGGAGAACACAGUUUGGCGGAAAGGGCUAACUUUGAACUCUGGCCCAGGAGCACUCUCUGUAACAGCAUUAAUGGCUACCUGUUCUGGAUUGUGGAAAUGAUCCAUUUGUUGUUCUGUCCAACUUCUUCCUGUUCAUUAAGCUGCUGUAAGAGUUCUCUUUUCUC